rnacentral:lncRNA from 1 species
GGAGAUUGGAAAGUGGAUGAAGACUCUCAACUGUUCAAAAUACAACAAGAUAAACUUCUAUCCAGUAGCACCAGCCAACUGGGUACGAAAUUGUUUUGAGAUAAGAAAUAUACUCUGUAUAUAUCCCAACAAAGAUCUCAAAGAAAUAGCUCAGCUUCCAGCCAACGUCAGGAAGGCUGUUAAAAGAUAUACUGAAAUUAUCAAGACAACAAAUAUAUACAUCAGAUUCCAUUCAACAACUAUGGAAUGGGAUUCCGUUCUUGAAUAUAUGCAUCUAUCAUUCCAUAUUAUCAAAAUGGAACUUACAAAUCAACAUUUUUUACCAACCAGUCAAAAUGUUGUUAAAAAUGGAUAUCAAGAUAUUAUAAAUAUAAUGCCCUACAGAAGAGCAAAAUGGUAUAAAGAAAUAUUUGAGCAUGUAACCCAGAUAAUUACUGAGAAAGAAAAAAUAUGAAUUUAUCCAUCUGAAGACCAUAUAAUCUACUCCAAUGCAAGGAUGACUACAAAGGAAGAAGACAUAUGUUAUCUUGACCAUUUAUUAUCCUCAAUUAUCUCAAACUAAGUACAUGGGUCAGAAGAUAUGGUGAAAAAACUAUGCAAACUAUUCUGGAAUUACAAAGACCACCAUUGUGAAUACUGUGUAGUGGAAGAUAUGAGUCAAGUAUUUUUCAAUAGAGAAGAAUUCCUUGCAGAAUUCUUUGAUUCAAAGAUGGAAAAGUGAUAGCAACAAAAGUGGCCCUUUAUCACUACUUUAAUAAAAAAUUUUAUUAAAGAAAAACUGUGGCUACUAAAAGAUAGAAGAUAAUGCAAGAAAGUCUCCAUAAUUGUGACCACUCACCUACCAGUCGUCAAAAGUGGAAGACAAAUUCAAAGAUAAGGCAAAUAAUUUCAAAAGGAGAGGUCCACCUAGUAAGAAGAUAAUGGAGAAAUCGGUGGAGAUAAGACUACUGAGCUACUCACCAAAAGAAAAGAGGAUACAGAUGUCAAGAUAAGAUUCUCAAAAC